UUGAAAAAACCAUGUGUUGAUGCAUAUCUCUCUGCUAAUUAAAGUUUUCAUCUUCUACAAAGAACAAGGUAAAGCAAGAAAGCCAAGUAUCUUUCUUUCUCCGUCUCUGUGUGUUGUUAGUUACUUUUCCACUAUUUUAUUAGUAGCUAUUACCUCUUAUCAGUAUAGCUAUAAUUACUUCUUUCUCUAUAUUUUUUUCUAGUUGUUUAUCCCAUUUCAAAAAUUAAGUUCCAUUUUUUCCCUAGUUGUAUGUUGUGGUUGUUUGUUCCUUCUACUCUGAUUCUACUACUUGUGAGAUUGUUAUUUACUGCAUAUUAAAUAGAAGUGGAGGUUUUGAAGGGAUUGAGAACCAUGCUUAGAGAAUAGAGAGAAAUAAAGAUAAGUUAAAAUGAUUGCUUUUUGUUUUACCAUUAAUUACUGCACUUGAUGUUGUUAUUUGGCUGAAAAUCUCCGCUUAUGGGAGAAAACAUGUUGUCUCACACAGUAUAUGAGUAAUGAAUUCAUGUUAACGUUUCAUUUUGGUGUUGAGGUAGUCGAUUUUAGGAAUCAAUUAUUGGUUAAUUAAUUGCCUAUAAUAUAUGUUAUGGGGUUUUCUGAGCUUUAAAUUAAGGGUCCAUGCAAAUUUUCUGUCAACCUUUGAAGCCUUGAGUAUAUAUAUAAGAUGUAGUUUUCUGAUCUACCAAUAUAUAAACUUAUAAGUUUGGCGAUAAGCGUAUAUAAAAGAGAGUGUGUGUGUGGCUUAAUAAUAAUAAGAAUAAUAAUAAUCAUUCUCUUUCUACUUAGCAGCUGGAUUAAUGAAUAACAAGUGGGAUUUAUUACUCGAUGGCAAGGACUAUAAAGCCUGUAGUAGGGUGUUUCCCAGGAGUGAUCAAAGGGAAGAGAGGACAAUUUGAAGCAUUUCAGGUUAGCUUAUUUCCUUGUUUUCUUGUUUUUUUUUACCUGGUCAUGGUUCCUUUUCUGAAGAUUGUUGUUGGGUAAUUCAAAUUUAUUGAAAUUGGCCUAUGAAUUACGUAGACAUGCCAGUUUUUCGGUGGUUAAGUUUGCUGAGACAUGGAGCAAGAACCCUAUCUGAUUAGCUGUAACUAGAAAAUGAAAAUGACAUCCUUUAAUCGUUUUUACUCUCUUUGUAAUACAAUAACAACAACAAAACAACCAGUGUAAUCCCACAAGUGAGAUCUGGAGAGGGUAGUAUGUACGUAGACUUGGAGAGCAUAGUGUGUACGUAGUAGCAGGGGGUACUUCAUUAAAGGGUCGAAAAAUUACACUGCAUAUAUAUACAUAUAUAUACAUAUAUAUACAUAUAUAUAUAUACCGGGUGUCCGAGUCUUUAAGAGCUCCAACUAAUCUCAGGGGUGUACAGGCCCUCGGCAAGGAGUUUCCCGCAAGCGCAAGGAGUUUCCCGCAAGCGCAACAGGGUUAAUUCCGAAGGCCCUUAGAAAUUAUUUGCACCCACUGCGUUUCGAACUUGAGACCUUGAAAGGGAGCAAACCCCAAGGCUCAAGUCAAUUGCCACCAUGCCAACUCCUGAGGGUUACACUGCAUAUAUAGGUAAAAUAUAGGCUUUAUAGGUAUAUAACAUAUAUUGAACACUUUUUGUCGGAGAAUUUUGUUCACCUUUUCCAAGUUUGAACACACUUGAGGAAAUUUCUGGCUUCGGCACUGCGUAGUAUACCUUACCCCCACCUUGAAGGUAGAAAGGCUGUUUCCGAUAGAUUUUUCCUCCUUGUAAUAAUUAUAGAAGUUAAAACAAUCUGGACAGAAAGUAUGUUGCUGUUUAAAAAUUAUGUGGUAUUGCAUACUGAUUGCUGAGAAUCAUUGCCUCGUUGAAGAUUUUGAGACUUGGGUCUUGGAUCUUCACUAACUUUUUGCUUGAAGUCUGCAGUUUCUUGGGUGAUUCAUUGAAAAAGGAUAAUUAUCAUUAAUAAAAGGAAUCAUGAUUUGCAGUUGUCAAUCCAACAAAAUUCAGAAAAUGCUCUAUGCCCUAACCAACUACAAAAUUAAAGGUGGCAAGGGCUGUAAUUCCUUUUGCUGAUCCUUUUGUCAGCACAGUGUAGUUUCGUUUCUUUAUCCUUCCUCCUGUGAUGUGAUUCUUGUAUGUGAGACACUGUACAGUUAAUUCGUCGUCAUCUUGAAACACAGAUUAUGAUUAAUUAAUCCCAUCCUUUUGGUUUCACCGGUUAAGUCACCAGUGGACUGAGUUUGCCACCAUAGCUUCAUGUGAGGGCUGCGCUUACUCUUACUGGUUUUAGACGACUUACACCUCUUCGCAUAAACUCAAAUGCCAACAUAAACAAGCCAAAAAAGAACACCAAGAAUAUCUGGAGCCUUGCUACAAUGUCAACCAUGACAGACACAUUGCUUCCCUCGGGAGAACUUUUUCUUGUAGGUGGGGUUAUACUCCAUCCUGAUACAGACAAUCAACUAUUAGAGUGAUGCAACUUAACCAAUAAGCUUAAAACAAAUAACGGGACUUGUGAUUCAUGGAAGUAUUUUGUGUCGUUCGCGCUCGUUACCAUAUUACAUUGUCAUUACCAUUGUUUGCUACUUGGUUGUUUUAUCCUAUCUCCACUGUUCUUUGCGCCGAGCAUCUAUCGGAAACAACCUCUAUCUUUAUAAGGUAGGGGUAAGGUCUCUCCCCAGACCUCAUUUAUGGGAUUGCACUGGGUCGUUGUCAUUCUUGUUGUUGUUGUUAUUGUUGUUAGUGAUUCAUGGAAGUUUAUACAUCCUACAGAGACAUUUUCCCUCUAUCUCCCCCUAUUCCAAAUAGUCUAGUUCAUUAUGCAGCCUUUUUCUUGGAAGAGUAGGUAAGAAAACAGAUAUAAGUACUUACCGGUGCUUUUCUUGGGCAAAUUUGUCCAGUCAUACGGGCUAAUCUUACUUGAAGAUGCCUUGAUCAACUCAAGAAGUGCGUCAUUGACCUAAAAUUUUUAUAAUCGUCAUAUACUUCCAUUAACAAUUAGCAUACAUAUGACUCCAGCCACACAAAUGCCAAUAGAUUGGACAUAUCUAAAAUUUUGUAUAUGCUGAUAAUCGUCAUAUACUUUCCAUUAACAAUCAGCAUACAUAUGACUAAAGCCACACAAAUGCCAAUAGAUUGGACAUGUCUAAAAUUUUGUAUAUGCUGAUUGACUCAUAAAUAUUGAAGUGCAAUAUAAUAAUUUCAUUUGAUCAUGAUAUCCAUGUGAAUGUUUGAUUCUCCUAUUUAUUUUAUCUUUUUCAAGAACCGACAAGUUGUCUGCUGUCGAAACAUUCAUUGAUGUUCUGCAUGACACCACAGGCCCUAGCUCUGAAAACAAAAAUGAAAAGAGAAAUACCUGCUAGAUCUAAACAGUCUGCAUUGUAUAAAAUACCCUCUCACUUGCUAAAAAACCAAAAGCAAUAAAAAUACUCAGGUACCUGAACACUUGGAAUAAUUAUCAGAUUAUAGUGUCCAGUGUGCUUGAAAGGAUUCUAGUAUGCGUUGACCCAUUUUCAACCCGUUUAAACAUGGGUAGGUAGAGUAAGGUUUUGUUACGGGCGGGUUGGGGGGGGUUAAAGCAAUUUGGGUGAAAUUUGGUAUUUAUGUGGUGUUCACAGAUACAUUGCACAAAUCAUUUAAAGCCACAGGAGAGUACAAAAACUUUGAGAAUCUCAUAGGGUAUUAUGCAUUUCAAAAUGUUCUAUUAGUGACUCCACCAAAAGGUUGAUUUUGGCCUAUUAGUGACUCCGCCCAGUGCCAAGUCAUUGAUUUUUUACAGCGGCCAACUGAUCCUCAGAAUCACUAGAAAAUUGCAGAUCAAUAGUUCUUAGAUGAGACCCAUUCCCCCAGCUCUUUGGAGCAAAUUCACAAUAUAUUAUAUAGAAUCAGAUGCUUUCUUGACCUAUAUCUUAGUAUGCAACUUUUACCUGAUAUGCAGAGCACCUAUGGUUCUGUCACUAUUAGAAUAAUAGAUGCAUAUAAUAAUACCUCUUCUGUCCUUUCAUGACUAACGAGAUGUCCUCCAGGAAGCUCUACCAUUCUAGCAUACGGAUGUAAUUUCUUCGCAAGACUCUUCGCGUGGCUUAAUUGAGCAAUGACGUCGUCCCUACACAGAAGAAAUAUUGAUUUAAAAUCUGGAUAACCUUUCAAAAGAAACGGAUUUACAUCUAAACAAUAUUUCUGGCUGUUUGAGAUUGUAUCUGUAGUGGAUAAUGCCUUCAAAUUACAGAUGAAUAUACCUGCCAUGAAUAACAGAUAUGAGGAACCCAGCAGAGCAGAUAGAUUCAAGAUCAGCCCGCGAUAGCUUAUGAGUCCAGCAAGCAUUUAUCUGCCCAUCAAAUCCACAAUUUGACUGCAUCCCAGAUGCUGCUAUGCCUUUGAAGUAUUCCUGCCACCCAAAAAAAGACCCCAGUGAGCACCUUAGUAUUGUUUCUUGUAGAUUACAAGAUAAAAAGAUGCCCAAAGAAACAUCUAGAACAUAAUGUGCUUAGGUCACUCACUUGAUAUAAUAUUGCUCUUCGGGUUUUAGUUCCCACAUAUUCCUCGAGGUAUUCCUGUAAAGUAAAAAACACAGAUAUGUUAGUUACAAAUCAUUCCCUGGCCAUGAAAAAUGGUAUCUUAUUACAUCUUUAUAUCUAGUCAUGGUCAACCAACUCAAUCAGCAAUCUUAUAAAAAAUAAUGCACAUGAAACCGUGUUUAGACAUGGCAUGUUCAUGCAUCUUUUGAGAAGGAAGGAAGUGAAGCCUCUUAUUUGUCAACACUAUUAAAUGAACAAUUAAUCAACCUUUGAGUAGUGGGUGUCUAAAUCAACAGCAGCCCUCUGCUCAGGAGUUUUUGCCUUCAAAAAGCGGACUGCAAUAGAUAGAGUUUGACGAUCGAGCUGCAGCAAAAAAAGACCAUAUGAGCACGAGAAUAAACACAAUAACGCUUUCUUUGAUUCAAGUAUGCAAUGAGCAACAGGCAGAGGAGGCGUUGUGUUUUAAGGUACAACAUGAAUUUAGCUUGCAUCUAUUUAAUGCAAUUAUCAGAAUCAUUAAUUUUACAGGAUCUUACUCAACACAAUAAUUUAUUUUAGUUAUGCAAACAUGGUGACCAUUUCUUUAGUCUUCAGAUCAACUGCUUGACUCUACGAGCAUCCAGAAAAGUUGGUGGGACUAGGAAGUAUAUUGGAUGGCCGUACCACCUACCAAACUACCAAAGCAGCAGGUUGACAUGCAGCAUUUCACUGGAUUAAGGCGUUGAGUAUCUCCUGGGUCCUUCGAGAGCAUGAAGUAGAGGUAGAGUAGGAUUACCUAAUCUACAAAUAUAUACCAUAUUUCUGAUAUUUAUAUAUCUCAUUUGGAAGCAUGAGCAUGCAAGCUCCGACUUUCCUCGCAUGUGGGAUUGCUACUACAAUACUGUAGUUGUAAGCGUUUGCAUCUUGAUAUUUCUACAUCUCAUUAUAAUUAAUUCAAUUGCAGGGGGAAAUCAAGUGAAUAUAUGCUACUGAUUGUUACCAUAAAAACCAGCCCUCCCUCCCGCCNNNNNNNNNNNNNNNNNNNNNNNNNNNNNNNNNNNNNNNNNNNNNNNNNNNNNNNNNNNNNNNNNNNNNNNNNNNNNNNNNNNNNNNNNNNNNNNNNNNNNNNNNNNNNNNNNNNNNNNNNNNNCCGCCCUCCCUCACACGCAUACACACGUGAACACAAACGAUUGGACAAGACAAGAAUAUUCCACAAAAAGUGAAAUCUGUGGUUUUUCCUAUUGAAAUUGUAUAAAAUGCCAAUGUUCCACUAUGCCACAUGUUCUUUUUUUUUUUAAUGACAGUGGUGUCUGGGGCAGCUUCGGCGCACUUCGGCUACUCCGCUGGGUACGUGCUGCCUCCCACCAACACAGAUACCAGGUAACUCUGCCACCAAGCCUUGGGCAGAUGAAGAAAUCACCUAGAGUUUUUAGCCUCCACUGGGAUUUGAACUUGAGACCUCAUGGUUCUCCUCCGGCUUCAUUAACCACUAGGCCACACCCUUGGGUGCCCUUUAUGCAACAUAGAGAUAGAUACAUUCUUUAAGAUUUAUGUACCACACCUUAUUCUUAUUAUUAUGUAUAGUGUUUGGAUAAGUAUGUACAGGAGCCACCUUAUAAGCACCAAAAUAACUGUGUAUCAUGACAUAAGCAUCAUCCAGCAGUAAAUCAUGAGACAAUUGGUGACGCCGUCGUGCAUUUACAGCUAGUUUGUAAAUGUUAGGAGCAACUAUUAUGUAAGAAGUUCGAGUCUGUGCCUUACAAUUCAUGCUAGUAAAGCUCAGUCGUGUUCAAGUCUACAUGAUGAUUUGCCUAGUGCAAACAGGACUUCAGGAUAGUGCAGGUGUUAUAGAAUUUCCUUUUUCAAUUUGAUCAUGUUUCUUAUUUCAGGGAUAAAAUUGAAUUAUUCCGAGAAAAAGAAUCAAACAAAGAUAAAAUUGCAUUAGGAGCUCCACGUUCUUGUUUAAGCAAGUUUAGAGCAUCACUGCACCAGAAGUCCAACCAAAAAGUAUCUUUUAGAGUACAUACAAGCAACAUAGAAGAGAAUAAGACAAAGGCAUCCACAUGUAUUCCCCCCAGAGAGAAAAUUCUUUCUGUGGUUGGUUCAAUACCCACAUACCAAUUUCAUUAAAAGCCAGUACUUGGCCGGCCUAAACCAAUGAAGCUGUGCAAAGCGAGAGGUUAUUGCUUCCUGGGUCAAGUCAUGCAUUUCAAAGAAGUUUGCGCGCCAAACAUUGACUCGCCAAGCGAUCCCAACAAGAAGUAGCAGGCUUUUGGAUCUCAACUUUAGAGAGAUAGAUUAAUAUAGACAUUAUUGUACACUUGGAUGCUGAAAUGUUAUUUUAGUAGCAAUUCAAUUAUUAUAGUAAUACAUUCAUACCAUAUGUUUAUAUCUUUAAACAUUUCGUACAUUGUACAUUCCAUUUCAAAAAAAGCGUGUGCUUGAAUUCUCGCUUUUCGGUUCAAAUGGGCCUGCCGCAUACUAUUCCUGGAAUUAUCUUGACGACCACUAUAGACAAGGUUAGCAUUUCUCUAUUUUAUCGUCACUACGCUACUGUGAUUGAAAUGAAAGUGUUCGUGAAAUAAAUUGUGAAAGGAAAUGGAUAAGCUAGGAGGAAAAGAACACUGGUCAGAUACACUGUCCUCUCUGGUCAGAACAACAUAGGGGUUCUUCACUCAGAUAGAGGGGAAUCGAUGAUGUCAAAUGUGGAAGCCAAGGAAAAGAAAAAGGUUUUAUUUUGACAAAGCUUUGGCCCUGACUAGUUUGCAGUGUGCAAAUUCCACCUUGCUACUUCCAUAACACGAUCAUUAAUGAGGGGCUGGCAAUGCUAAAGAAGACCAAAAUAGGAUGUUCUUUAUUUCUACAUUCAGGUAUAUCCAUAUCAUUUAACUCUUGAACAAUUUGCUCAGUGACCGAUAAUUGAAGAGAAGAUCUUACCCUG
rnacentral:lncRNA from 1 species